GACGAACGCUGGCGGCGUGCCUAAUACAUGCAAGUUGAGCGAUGAAGAUUGGUGCUUGCACCAAUUUGAAGAGCAGCGAACGGGUGAGUAACGCGUGGGGAAUCUGCCUUUGAGCGGGGGACAACAUUUGGAAACGAAUGCUAAUACCGCAUAACAACUUUAAACAUAAGUUUUAAGUUUGAAAGAUGCAAUUGCAUCACUCAAAGAUGAUCCCGCGUUGUAUUAGCUAGUUGGUGAGGUAAAGGCUCACCAAGGCGAUGAUACAUAGCCGACCUGAGAGGGUGAUCGGCCACAUUGGGACUGAGACACGGCCCAAACUCCUACGGGAGGCAGCAGUAGGGAAUCUUCGGCAAUGGACGAAAGUCUGACCGAGCAACGCCGCGGGAGUGAAGAAGGUUUUCGGAUCGUAAAACUCUGUUGGUAGAGAAGAACGUUGGUGAGAGUGGAAAGCUCAUCAAGUGACGGUAACUACCCAGAAAGGGGCGGCUAACUACGUG
rnacentral:rRNA from 1 species